ensembl:lncRNA
GUUCAGUAGGUCAACCUGUGCCGGUAUAGUUCCUGGAGAAAAAAACAAAAGAGAAAAAGAAUGGUGGGAAUGGACUGGCUGACAUGGGGGUGAAACCCAGUGGAGUGAGCGACAUAAGAUGGCCAGUGCAUACAGUGAUAGCAGAGCUGCCAUGCAAGGCGCUAACUUGCCAUCGGAGCAACUUGGGGUUCAGUGUCUUGCCCAAGGACACUUUGGCAUGUGGAGUCAUGCUGGCUGGGAACCGCCAACCCUACGAUUAGUGGACAACCCGCUCUACCACCUGAUCCACAGCCACCCCUGGCACUGUGCAGCUAUCUGUUACAAAUGAAUGGGAAAAUUCAAGGAUGUUGUAAUUGGUAAGUUGUGAUGUCAAAAGUAUCUGUACCAAGUUGAUACUAAAAUUUUAAAAAGAAUGAUACGAUCAGUUUUUUUUUUCAGUACCGGCUGUACCAAGUAUUCUCCUGCUUUCUGAUUGACUUUCUUUUCCAUGCUGAGGGAGGUGUUGACUAAAUUAGAGAUGGUGCUGGACCAACAAACCACUGAGCUUGCUUCAACUACAGGUGUUCCAGGUGCAGUCUUUGGAUACUGAUGAAGAUUUACUGCCCUGCAAGAUCUUCCUCAACUGCAUAGUCUGGAGCGAAGGAUGCAACAGAGCCCAGAUUACAAGCAAAAACUGGGCGGAUGUGCUCGACUGCACCUGGCGCAUACUGAAGAGGGUGAUUGCUAACUCCCUGGCAAAGAAUCUCAAUUGGAG